rnacentral:rRNA from 1 species
UACGAAGGGGGCUAGCGUUGCUCGGAAUCACUGGGCGUAAAGGGUGCGUAGGCGGGCCUUUAAGUCAGGGGUGAAAUCCUGGAGCUCAACUCCAGAACUGCCUUUGAUACUGAAGAUCUUGAGGUCGGGAGAGGUGAGUGGAACUGCGAGUGUAGAGGUGAAAUUCGUAGAUAUUCGCAAGAACACCAGUGGCGAAGGCGGCUCACUGGCCCGAUACUGACGCUGAGGCACGAAAGCGUGGGGAGCAAACAGG